rnacentral:rRNA from 1 species
AUUGAACGCUGGCGGCAUGCUUUACACAUGCAAGUCGGACGGCAGCACAGAGAAGCUUGCUUCUUGGGUGGCGAGUGGCGAACGGGUGAGUAAUAUAUCGGAACGUACCGAGCAGUGGGGGAUAACUAAUCGAAAGAUUAGCUAAUACCGCAUAUUUUCUGAGGAAGAAAGCAGGGGACCAUUUGGCCUUGCGCUGUUUGAGCGGCCGAUAUCUGAUUAGCUAGUUGGUGGGGUAAAGGCCUACCAAGGCGACGAUCAGUAGCGGGUCUGAGAGGAUGAUCCGCCACACUGGGACUGAGACACGGCCCAGACUCCUACGGGAGGCAGCAGUGGGGAAUUUUGGACAAUGGGCGCAAGCCUGAUCCAGCCAUGCCGCGUGUCUGAAGAAGGCCUUCGGGUUGUAAAGGACUUUUGUCAGGGAAGAAAAGGAUAGGGUUAAUACCCCUGUCUGAUGACGGACCUGAAGAAUAAGCACC